rnacentral:lncRNA from 1 species
UUCUUCUUUCUUUCUUUUUCUUUUAUUUUUUUAUUUUUAAUUCAGCCAAUGAGUGGCUGAUUUCUUUCAUCUAGUUGAAUAUUGGUUGAAACUUUAGUUGUUUAAUGGGUUGUGAGACUUGAUCAAAUAUUGUUUAAUUUUGGGAAUUCAAUAUUCAUGCAAUUUCAUAUUUAAUUCUCAUAUUAUUUUGUUAUUGAAAUCUACGUUGAUUUUUUAUUGCAAAAUAAUUAUUUGUUAGUUUGAAUAAUUC